rnacentral:sRNA from 1 species
GUUUGCACUUGUCGGGGAAGGGUGAGAACCUUCGAUUAAGGUUCGACUCGAGCGAAAGCGAGAGAACGUUGCCAACGGCAACGGCCCGUAGGGUGAGGAGCGAAGCGACGAAUAAUCCUUCCCCCACUACCA